GACGAACCGUGCGAACGUUGUUCGGAAUCACUGGGCUUAAAGGGCGCGUAGGCGGCUGACCAAGUCUGGGGUGAAAUCCUGCAGCUUAACUGUAGAAGUGCCUGGGAUACUGGUCGGCUCGAGGGAGGUAGGGGUCUGUGGAACUGCUGGUGGAGCGGUGAAAUGCGUUGAUAUCAGCAGGAACGCCGGUGGCGAAAGCGACGGACUGGAUCUCUUCUGACGCUGAGGCGCGAAAGCGAGGGGAGCGAACGGG
rnacentral:rRNA from 1 species